AUUGAACGCUGGCGGCAUGCUUUACACAUGCAAGUCGAACGGCAGCGGGGUAGUGCUUGCACUACUGUCCGGCGAGUGGCGAACGGGUGAGUAAUAUAUCGGAACGUACCGAGUAAUGGGGGAUAACCAAUCGAAAGAUUGGCUAAUACCGCAUACGUCCUGAGGGAGAAAGCGGGGGAUCGCAAGACCUCGCGUUAUUCGAGCGGCCGAUAACUGAUUAGCUAGUUGGUGGGGUAAAGGCCUACCAAGGCGACGAUCAGUAGCGGGUCUGAGAGGACGAUCCGCCACACUGGGACUGAGACACGGCCCAGACUCCUACGGGAGGCAGCAGUGGGGAAUUUUGGACAAUGGGGGCAACCCUGAUCCAGCCAUGCCGCGUGUAUGAAGAAGGCCUUCGGGUUGUAAAGUACUUUUGUUAGGGAAGAAAAGGGAAGUGCUAAUACCACUUUUUGCUGACGGUACCUAAAGAAUAAGCACCGGCUAACUACGUGCCAGCAGCCGCGGUAAUACGUAGGGUGCGAGCGUUAAUCGGAAUUACUGGGCGUAAAGCGAGCGCAGACGGUUAUUUAAGCAGGAUGUGAAAUCCCCGGGCUUAACCUGGGAACUGCGUUCUGAACUGGAUAGCUAGAGUGUGUCAGAGGGGGGUAGAAUUCCACGUGUAGCAGUGAAAUGCGUAGAGAUGUGGAGGAAUACCGAUGGCGAAGGCAGCCCCCUGGGAUAACACUGACGUUCAUGCUCGAGAGCGUGGGUAGCAAACAGG
rnacentral:rRNA from 1 species